AUGGAAAAAGCAAGAGAGUUCCAGAAAAACAUCUAUUUCUGCUUUCUUGACUAUGCCAAAGCCUUUGACUGCAUGGAUCACAAUAAACUGUGGAAAAUUCUGAAAGAGAUGGCAAUACCAGACCACCUAACCUGCCUCUUGAGAAAUCUGUAUAAAGGUCAGGAAGCAACAGUUAGAACUGGACAUGGAAAAACAGACUGGUUCCAAAUAGGAAAAGGAGUACGUCAAGGCUGUAUAUUGUCACUCAGCUUAUUUAACUUAUAUGCAGAGUACAUCAUGAGAAACGCUGGACUGGAAGAAGCACAAGCUGGAAUCAAGAUUUCCAGGAGAAAUCUCAAUAACCUCAGAUAUGCAGAUGACACCACCCUUAUGGCAGAAAGUGAAGAGGAACAAAAAAGCCUCUUGAUGAAAGUGAAAAAGGAGAGCGAAAAAGUUGGCUUAAAGCUCAACAUUCAGAAAACGAAGAUCAUGACAUCUGGUCCCAUCACUUCAUGGGAUAUAGAUGGGGAAACAGUAGAAACAGUGUCAGACUUUAUUUUUGGGGGCUCCCAAAUCACUGCAGAUGGUGACUGCAGCCAUGAAAUUAAGAGACCCUUACUCCCUGGAAGAAAAGUUAUGACCAACCUAGAUAGUAUAUUCAAAAGCAGAGACAUAACUUUGCUGACUAAGGUCUGUCUAGUCAAGGCUAUGGUUUUUCCUGUGGUCAUGUAUGGAUGUGAGAGUUGGAUUGUGAAGAAGGCUGAGUGCCGAAGAAUUGAUGCUUUUGAACUGUGGUGUUGGAGAAGACUCUUGAGGGUCCCUUGGACUGCAAGGAGAUCCAACCAGUCCAUUCUGAAGGAGAUCAACCCUGGGAUUUCUUUGGAAGGAAUAAUGCUAAAGCUGAAGCUCCAGUACUUUGAACACCUCAUGAGAAGAGCUGAUUCAUUGGAAAAGACUUUGAUGCUGGAAGGCAUUGGGGGAAGGAGGAGAAGGGGACAACCGAGCAUGAGAUGGCUGGAUGGCAUCAUGGACUUGAUGGACGUGAGCCUAACUGAACUCCGGGAGAUGGUGAUGGACAGGGAGGCCUGGCGUGCUGCGAUUCAUGGGGUCACAGAGAGUCAGACACGACUGAGCGACUGA
rnacentral:lncRNA from 1 species